rnacentral:lncRNA from 1 species
GCAUAAUUAGUUAUUAGGUCCCUUAAGUUAAUUUUUAGUUCCGCUUUAGUCCCUUAAUUAAAAAACGUUACUCUUUGGUCCAUUAAUAUUAGGUUCGUUAGCAUUAUUGGUCUCUUCCUUUAGUUUAGCUAACAAAACGUUAGCAUAGCUAAGAAAACGCUAGCAUUUGUCAACGUGGAGUGUCAACUAUGUAAUGACUCAAUAAAAAAUAAAAAAAAAAUCAUUAUUUAAGGGUUUCACUUGUAUCAAACAUGCUAUUAUUUCUUUCUUGAUAUUCAAAUGUGAUUACAGAAAGUGUUGGUGUGUAUUUGAUUUAAGUUGUGUCGGUGUGUU